UACGUAGGGUGCAACCGUUAAUCGGAAUUACUGGGCGUAAAGCGUGCGCAGGCGGCUUUGCAAGUCAGAUGUGAAAUCCCCGGGCUUAACCUGGGAACUGCAUUUGUGACUGCAUGGCUGGAGUGCGGCAGAGGGGGAUGGAAUUCCGCGUGUAGCAGUGAAAUGCGUAGAUAUGCGGAGGAACACCGAUGGCGAAGGCAAUCCCCUGGGCCUGCACUGACGCUCAUGCACGAAAGCGUGGGGAGCAAACAGG
rnacentral:rRNA from 1 species